UGGGGAAUAUUGGACAAUGGGGGCAACCCUGAUCCAGCCAUGCCGCGUGAGUGAUGAAGGCCUUCGGGUUGUAAAGCUCUUUUGGCGGGGACGAUGAUGACGGUACCCGCAGAAUAAGCCCCGGCUAACUUCGUGCCAGCAGCCGCGGUAAGACGAAGGGGGCAAGCGUUGUUCGGAAUUACUGGGCGUAAAGGGCGCGUAGGCGGUUUGCUUAGUCAGGUGUGAAAGCCCUGGGCUUAACCUGGGAUGUGCGCUUGAUACUGGCAGGCUUGAGUGUGGGAGAGGUUGGUGGAAUUCCCAGUGUAGAGGUGAAAUUCGUAGAUAUUGGGAAGAACACCGGUGGCGAAGGCGGCCAACUGGACCACAACUGACGUUGAGGCGCGAAAGCGUGGGGAGCAAACA
rnacentral:rRNA from 1 species